UUUUGUGGCAAACACAUGAGCAGCUUAACGCGCGGUUUUGCUUUACGGUGGUCGGAGUUUCUAAAGGACGCGGACCAGACGGAAACACCGGGACGCGUCUCGACAGCCGGACAGUGCUAAGCAAACAGAACAGCCAUGCCCACCAUACAAACAGUUCAUGGAGUACAGAAGCUCGAAGUCAAAAGAACGGCAGUCUUUUAACUUUGGGCCAAAAGGAAGAUUUAAGCCUAAAGAAAGAAAACACGUCCAGAUAAAUGUAGGACUGAUGGUGCCGCAUGAAACUGAUGGAGCGGAUUUAAAACCUCUAAGAGGGAAAACACUCCCGUUAUUUGCAGACCCGGAGGUAGCAGCACCUGGUCUACUGAAACAAGCUGCACACAAAAUGAGAACAUUUAACAAGGACGUGCACGAAGGACCUCACGUCCUUUUGUGUCCAGACUGCUCAGAGGUGGUCCAUGUGCCUGGCUCAGAAAGGACAUUCAAACUGGCAGAAUAUAAACAGGAAACAGGAAAGACAAAUUCCAGGAUCCAUUUUUUCAUUUGCCCAGAAAAACACUAUAAAAGAGUUCAGUGGAGGAAAGAUACACACACACACACACACACACACACACACACACAC